rnacentral:misc_RNA from 1 species
GAAAUGCGAUAAGUAAUGUGAAUUGCAGAAUUCCGUGAAUCAUCGAAUCUUUGAACGCACAUUGCGCCCUCUGGUAUUCCGGGGGGCAUGCCUGUCCGAGCGUCAUUGCGAACCCAUCAAGCACGGCUUGUGUGAUGGGCCCUCCCGCGUCUUGGUCGUCAAGACGGGCCCGAAAUGCAGUGGCGGCUUCGCGGUUAUCCGAUCAGCCAGAGCGUAUGGGGACUUUCUCUCUGUCACACGCCCGCGGCGCGGACCGACGCCUGUCGACCUUUAUUCAUCUUUUUCUCGGUUGACCUCGGAUCAGGUAGGGAUACCCGCUGAACUUAAGC